AUAUUGCGGAUCCGAUUGCUGUGAGCGCUUGUGUUGUUUACCAAGAAAAUGCAGCCCUGUUUGUUUUUAUUUCUGUAUCGUAUCGCGGUGAUUUUCUAUUUCUUGGUAAUUCGGUUUGUGAAAUGACUAUUAAUUAAAACACAAACAGCAUCAUCAACGGUGAUUGCAAGAAGUACUGCAAUCCCUGCGGUUUUUCCUCUUGGUAAAUGCGUUCUGGUCGUGACCAAGGGUGGUCUCCCAAAUCAGCCGGGAAUAAGAACAAACGCCCCAUCCACUGCUGUGAUAAAUAUGUACCAUCAGUACUGCCCACCGCCGUCGGUGAAAUGAUUUCGAAAGCUGAACAAACGCCAUCUCCUGGGCAUUCCCACAGCUUGCCGACACCAGCUAUUAUAUCACGUGUGAAUGCAACUGCGGCUAAGUCUGGUUAUUAACAGUGCAAUAGUGCCACGUCAUUGGCAAAAACACUAAGGGCUGCUGGCAUAUAGAGGUUGUAAAGCUUUUGGAAUCGAAGAACCUACUGGAAGAAGACGCUGACCGCAAACCUAUGAUGAAACAUCUUCUAGCAUUCGUUUUACAAUCGUUAAAUAUAUAUAUACAAAAUAUUUAUCGUUCUGUAGAACGUGCAUGCAUAUUCAAUUCCGAUUUUAUGAGUCGAUUACGGAGGACAACCGAACUUCAGUUGGUUGGCCAAUGGCUGAAAUGGUAUUACAGAUGGCAACUAGCAACUGAAAGCUGGCAACUGAGUUGCGCUAUAUGGGCAACUGCAUUUUUGUGGCUGCCGAAAUUUUGGUUGAGAUACUUUAUUUCUUUUUUUCAACUUUUUUUUAAUAUGUAUAAUCUUGAACUGUAUGAAACUCAAUUAUUGCUGUUCAUAAUAAAAUACAUUUUCAUUUCAGUGGCGCUGUCCAUCGGCAACUCAACUGAGAUUCCGUUGCCAUCCAUAAUCGAUCCAUAAGUCAUAAUCGUACGAACUAGUCAAGGCUAUCACAAAAUCCAUCGUAGUCCGAUUUUUCGUGAAAUCUACGAAAAUGCUUUUGAAUUCGAGUAGCUACGAACGCACCGUAUGCUUUGAAUAUACACGUUCAUAACAGUAACUGUUCCUAUUCAGUGAUCGUUUUUCCGUAGAUGUUAUGAAAAAUCGGAUUUGACAAGAUGUUGGAGAAUCGCGGCAACACAGCCGUAUACCUACUCUAUGCUUUUACGCGCAUAUGCUAAAUUUCUCGCACCUAGCUAAAGUGCUUGACAAAGGCAGAAGGCAUAUCUUCAACAUUAUAACUUAAAUUAAAAAAUUGUAAGGCAUGCAAUAAAUAAUA